UCUCCAGAAUGCAAGCCCCCUCCUUCCUAACCACUAGGCUAGUGAUGUGUAGCACAUGGAACAGGAAAAACGGCAUGUUUGGUGUCAUCGUUACUAUAUUCCUCUGAGCAUUGCUAGUUUCAUGUAUCAGCAGAUCCUUGCAAGUGAACAAUGGCCUGUGAGGGCCAUGGUGACCUUUUCCCAAGGUGUCAGCAUGAAGAUUGCAGCAGAACACAACAAGAGAUCAAGGCACAAGGUUGUCCUGAGCUCCAGGCUGCUGAAUGUCCGUCAGCUGUCCCAUACAGUGCAGACUUCAUGCCUUGAAUCUUUUCACAACAUUGUCUUACCUGCAAAGAAGCAGACAAUAUAUUAUGAUACAAUACAUAUGUUCAUGGGCAUUUCUUUUAUCCCUCAUUGGAAGCAAGAGUGACUAUGGCAUCCCUCCACUUCAACGAGAAUGUGGGGAAGAAACUAGUAU